rnacentral:piRNA from 1 species
GCAACGAUCAACGGCAGGCGGCUUGAA